GCCCGCCUAGCUCAAUCGGAUAGAGCGUGAGACUUUUAAGGACUUUGUCUUGAAGGGAUCUCAAGGCUGCGGGUUCGACCCCCGCGGUGGGCU